rnacentral:lncRNA from 1 species
GACCUAAAGCGCAAAAAUUAAGAAACUCUUUUAGAAGGAUACAAAAAUUACGAACCACAUUGUGGAUACUUGUGUCGAAUAAAAAUUAUAAAUCUCUCUAUAUAUAUAGGUUGACAUAUGAUGCAGAGAUCAAGAAUCUUUCUAUUAAAAGAAAUUCUAUAAGUGGCGCGCAGAGAUCGUAAAUGUCUAUAUUGUAAGCACAAAAAAAUUACGAACCAUUGUGGAUACUUGUGGCGCGAAAACUAAAAAACAUAUUCGCGACGCGCAGAAAUUACAAAUCUUUGUAUCAAGAACGCAUAAAAAUUACGAAUCUAUGCGAAUGCUAAAAUAUUGUAGUAUCAUGAAACUCUAUAUGGCGCAAAGAUUAAGAAAGAUUCUAUUAGAGGCUGACCUAAAGCGCAAAAAUUAAGAACCUCUAGCAGCGCGCAUAAAUUAUAAACCUCACUAUUAGAAGGAUACAAAAUUAUCACAAAAAAAGGAUACAAAAAUUGCGAAUCUAUAUCGAUACUCGGAGGGAUCCCUUAACCAUGGCUCCUUGAUCCUUGUAGCUCAUAUGCUCCUUGAUCAAGGAACACCAUUUAUAUAUCAAUCAUGAAUGUUGUAGAUCAUGGUAAAUAAAAAUAUUUGUGUCAAAAUAUCAUUCCUCUUGUUGAUUACUGAUUUCUGUCGCAGAAUCUAAUUGUCCACCUUUAUCUGGGAUCACGUUCUUGUGCAGUCAAAACUUUCUCGUAUUUAUAUAGUCGGUUAUAUGCAGCCGCUCGAUUAAGAUCAAACAGUUUAAAACCACCUACGGGUUUGGAGGAAUUAAACGGAAUUAAACGGGCUAAGUAGUUAUUUG